UCACAGUCAUGUGCAACUGAUACGGUUCCAAACCGAGCUGAUGCCAUAAAGAAGGCUGAUCUGGUGCAUAUGCUUUCUAGGGUCUGCGACCGGAACUUCCUGACAACAUGCACCCCAAGUUGUUAGACUUGAUGCAGAGAUGUUGGGAGGGAACUCCUACUGAUCAGCCAUCCUUCUCACAGAUAACAGUGGAACUAGAAGAACUCCUGCAAGAGGUUAAGUUCCAACCAGCUUCUUUCUAGCUCCUCAGAUGGAAACACAAGGUGGGGCCCUUUACUCCCAGUUGUCUGUAAUACCACUGAAAUCUGAUGGCUCCCUUUGUAUCAUGGAAGCUCUUACAAGAUCACAGCAAGGUGAAGGAGUGAUGCCAACUUCCUCUCCUAAGCUUGAAGAUUUCUUGGGUGGUGCAACCAUGGGAGCCCACCAGUAAGGAUCCAUUGACAGGGAAGCUAUGUCUCUAAGCUUGGACAGCAUGUAUUACCAGCAUAACCCACAAGCUGAAAACAGCAGGCAACAGCAUUCUCUAGGCCUUCUCCAGCCCUUCAGGCAGCUGAUUCAAGCCUAAUAGUAGCAGCAGCACCAAUACUUCCAGUCACGACAGGAAGGGAUGUGCAUAGGAUUAACAGCUCAUGACAUGUAUUAGACUGCCUUGGAAGUGGCACCGAAGGAAGAGAUUUUCAUCCCUCUCAUAUGGACACAACGUCCACAUCACUUUAGUGGAUCAUGGCGAACUUGCUGAAGCAUCAGGAUGUGCAGGCCAAGCUGAUGGAAGAGAUCGAUCAGGUUGUGGGGGAUGGACGAGAAGACAUUGAAGAGGAGAAUUUGCAGUGGAUGUUAUAUCUGAAGGCAGUGAUCAUUCUAGAAAAGAGCAAGGAAUUGUUGGAUUAUAGAAGCCUAGAAAUGAAAUGUUGUAUUGAAAUUGGUAAUUGGAAUUGAAAUUAAAGUGUGUACUAGAAAAGAAGGAAAAGAUUAUUAUGUGUGUGAAUCAUUCUAUUGUCUUUUUCUUCUAUUUGUGUAAUUAUUUGGCAUAUAAUACAAGUAGAUUACAUA